CGCCCGGACCCAUUCCGAACCCGGAAGCUAAGCCUCUCAGCGCCGAUGGUACUGCCCUGGAGACGGGGUGGGAGAGUAGGACGCCGCCGGAC
rfam:Geodermatophilus nigrescens strain DSM 45408 genome assembly, contig: Ga0131184_101